CCAAAUUUGGCGUGUUUCUGAUACAUAAAAACAGAAUUUAUCGAAGACACCUUCCGUGCUUUUUGUUCUUCAUUCGUACUGCCAUCAACACCAAUCACCAUUCGUCCAUCGAGAAGAAAUCAACGACACCAGCGGCGUGCCAGCGGGAACGUCUCGUGAACGUCGGCUGCGGCGGUGUUCUUGUGUGUGAGAAAGACCGUGCUGAUGCCAUGCCGUCCGGCGGUCCAAGCCACGGCUGCUACUGCUGUGUGUCGUGGUGCUUUGACAACGGCAGAACCCAGAAAAAGCCUAUCUUGACUUGGAAUAAAAACAUUGCGGAAA